CCUACGGGGUGCACCAGUAGGGAAUCUUCGGCAAUGGACGAAAGUCUGACCGAGCAACGCCGCGUGAGUGAAGAAGGUUUUCGGAUCGUAAAACUCUGUUGGUAGAGAAGAACGUUGGUGAGAGUGGAAAGCUCAUCAAGUGACGGUACCUAACCAGAAAGCCACGGCUAACUACGUGCCAGCAGCCGCGGUAAUACGUAGGUGGCAUGCGUUGUCCGGAUUUAUUGGGCGUAAAGCGAGCGCAGGCGGUUUCUUAAGUCUGAUGUGAAAGCCCCCGGCUCAACCGGGGAGGGUCAUUGGAAACUGGGAGACUUGAGUGCAGAAGAGGAGAGUGGAAUUCCAUGUGUAGCGGUGAAAUGCGUAGAUAUAUGGAGGAACACCAGUGGCGAAGGCGGCUCUCUGGUCUGUAACUGACGCUGAGGCUCGAAAGCGUGGGGAGCAAACAGGAUUAGAUACCCGGGUAGUC
rnacentral:rRNA from 1 species